CAGCAGCCGCGGGAAUACGGAGGGGGCUAGCGUUGUUCGGAAUUACUGGGCGUAAAGCGCACGUAGGCGGCUUUGUAAGUUAGAGGUGAAAGCCCGGAGCUCAACUCCGGAAUUGCCUUUAAGACUGCAUCGCUUGAAUCGUGGAGAGGUGAGUGGAAUUCCGAGUGUAGAGGUGAAAUUCGUAGAUAUUCGGAAGAACACCAGUGGCGAAGGCGACUGACUGGACAAGUAUUGACGCUGAGGUGCGAAAGCGUGGGGAGCAAACAGGAUUAGAUACCCGCGUAGUCCCUGUCUCUUAUAC
rnacentral:rRNA from 1 species